rnacentral:rRNA from 1 species
GAUGAACGCUAGCGGCAGGCCUAACACAUGCAAGUCGAGGGGCAGCAUAAAACAAGCUUGCUUGUUUGGUGGCGACCGGCGCACGGGUGCGUAACGCGUAUGCAAUCUACCCUGUACUGGGGGAUAGCCCGGAGAAAUUCGGAUUAAGACCCCAUAGCACUUAAGAAUGGCAUCAUUCAUAAGUUAAAGGUUACGGUACAGGAUGGGCAUGCGUCCCAUUAGCUAGAUGGUAAGGUAACGGCUUACCAUGGCAACGAUGGGUAGGGGCCUGAGAGGGUGGUCCCCCACACUGGUACUGAGACACGGACCAGACUCCUACGGGAGGCAGCAGUGAGGAAUAUUGGUCAAUGGGCGCAAGCCUGAACCAGCCAUGCCGCGUGCAGGAAGACGGUCCUAUGGAUUGUAAACUGCUUUUGUACAGGAAGAAACACUCCCUCGUGAGGGAGCUUGACGGUACUGUAAGAAUAAGGAUCGGCUAACUCCGUGCCAGCAG